ACUAACAGCUGUUGGCUCGGGAUUGGAACAUUUUUCAAUGUUUGUUUACAUUGUCAGUUUAUCAGUCACGUAGCCUAUUUCUUAUUCCAUUCUGAUUCAUGCCGUACAAAAAUAUAAUUAUUAAUAGAAGUAUAGUGUCCGUUGCGUUGUGUUUGUGCACGGAAUCGUAAGCUGGUUAUAUCUUAUAUCACACCGGAGUGAUGAAGGUGUCAACGGUUAAAGUGCAAAUACAGAUUAUAGGGGUUUUAAUAAUUAUUGGUACUGUUUAUAGUCAUAACAUUCUAGGGUUAUUCCCCACGACAGCAAAAAGUGCCUUCCUUGCUUCAGAAGCAAUUAUGAAAGAACUGGCUAGAAGAGGACACAACGUCACUGUAGUUUCUUGUUUUCCUCAACAGAAUAAAAUUAGUAAUUAUACUGAUAUUAGUAUUAGAUCUGCUAGGGAAUCUAUGAUGUAUGAAAGCAGCAUUGAUAUUAAGAAAUACAAUAUCCCUUUGGAUAUUUUGGAUCUCACUCCAUUUUUUACCGAUUUGAUUGAAAGCAUGAGAAGUGUUCUUGAAUUUAGUGGAAUUCAGGAACUUCUAUCAUCAAAUAUGUCUUUUGAUGUGGUAUUUCAUGAAAUGUUUGUUGAUGAUAUUUUUUUAUUGAUUUCCAGGAAAUUCAAUGCUCCGAUUAUAGCUAUAGGUCCAUCCUAUAUUUUACCAUGGGCUGCUGAUCGCUUUGCGAUUCCUCAAAACCCAUCUUAUAUCCCUGUUAUUGCUAAUGGCUAUAGUGCUAAAAUGAAUUUCUGUGAAAGGCUUUGGAAUACAAUAACUUUGAUAAGAAGUAAAAUAGAUUAUUGGAAUAUAUUAAAUCCCAAGUCACUUGAGGUAUAUAGUAAACACUAUAAGGAAACUUUACCUUCAUUCCGUGAGGUGUCAAGUUAUGUCAGUAUGUAUUUUGUGAAUCAGCAUUUCACUUUAAAUAGACCACGACCUCUUCCUCCGCAAGUGAUAGAGAUAGCAGGUGUUCACUUGAAACCAGUAAAAGCAUUAGAACAGAUACAACAGAGAUGGAGUCUUCAUGAAUGUUAAUAUCCGUCAGGUCCUUAAGGCUUUCUUACUGAAUUUCUGAGACAGAAGAUGAAGGAACUCCAAAUGUGGAUGGACAAUGCACCUUUCGGUGUCGUCUACUUUUCCUUUGGUUCAAUGCUGCGAGGAGCAUCUCUCCCAACUGAGAAAGUGCAGAUUUUCCUUGAGGUAUUCCGAAGUUUCCC
rnacentral:misc_RNA from 1 species